rnacentral:rRNA from 1 species
AAUGGGCGCAAGCCUGAUCCAGCCAUGCCGCGUGAGUGAUGAAGGCCCUAGGGUUGUAAAGCUCUUUUGGCGGGGAAGAUAAUGACGGUACCCGCAGAAUAAGCCCCGGCUAACUUCGUGCCAGCAGCCGCGGUAAUACGAAGGGGGCUAGCGUUGCUCGGAAUCACUGGGCGUAAAGCGCACGUAGGCGGAUUCUUAAGUCAGAGGUGAAAGCCUGGAGCUCAACUCCAGAACUGCCUUUGAUACUGGGAGUCUCGAGUUCGGGAGAGGUGAGUGGAACUGCGAGUGUAGAGGUGAAAUUCGUAGAUAUUCGCAAGAACACCAGUGGCGAAGGCGGCUCACUGGCCCGAUACUGACGCUGAGGUGCGAAAGCGUGGGGAGCAAA